CUGCCCUUUUCAGACACUGAAUUUGAGCAGAAACCAUAAGGAUACUCAAAGGACCUGUGACUCUCAGGAAAUGCAUCAAAUGAGAGGGACAGAUGAAACAGUUUCAAGACAAUGGCAGGAAAAACAUGCUGAAGAUUGAAACAAACCUUGGCUGGAAAUAUUUGAAGGUAUCUAGCCAGUCCACAAUGAAAGCUUCGUUGCACCCCAUGAGUCUUCUGGCAGAAAUGAUGGCGCCUGUAUUCUUUGGUUUCCCUAAACAUCACACCCUGCCUGUUUAUACGAGGCUCUUCAAUUAAGUCUGCACCCAAAGAUUCAAUAAGAGAGGGGAUCCUGCCAGUCCAAAGUGAACUCCUGAUGGACAUUGAAGUACUCCUGCAGAGCUUGUAUCUUCGACACCAUGCGCAUUAGAAACUCCACUGAGUCCUUUCCUUCACCAAGGCAGGACCCAGUGACUCAUUACUGUUGAUAGGUCAGGGGCAGGUAAUAUUUUGUUUCAUGUUUA